GUCUCUUGCUUGGAGGGCUCUAACAGGAAAUUGGGCACUGUGGACUCACAUGGCAGGAGAGUUCAAGAAGAGUAUUUAAUGUAGCUCUUUAACAUGUGGUUUGAGAGCACCAGAGCCCAGGUAUGACUUCGUGAGUCUCCCAUUUCAAGGCCUCCUAUGAUGGAACGCAGCAUGGGAUUUCCCCAAAUUUAGAAGGCAACUUGUCACACACCAUUGCCCGUUGGUGACCCUCUUCUUAUUGGCUAGGAUGAGGAAAUCCACAGGACCCCUAAGUGGAAGCCACGCAUGAACUUCAGUAAUGUAGGAACCCGAUGGAAGACAGCUGACCAGCAGAAGAGAGGUUUCUGAA